ACGGUUAAUACCCCAAAUACCUGGAGGGGGAAAAGCCGCCAAUGCGCUUUUCCGAGGCGCCCAACCGGGAUUUAGUUAGUAGGUGAGGUAAAAGGCUCACCUAGGCGACGAUCUCUAGCUGGUUUGAGAGGAUGAUCAGCCACAUUGGGACUGAGACACGGCCCCAGACUCCUACGGGAGGCAGCAGUAGGGAAAUAUUGCACAAUGGGGGAAACCCUGAUGCAGCCAUGCCGCGUGUGUGAAGAAGGCCUUCGGGUUGUAAAGCACUUUCGGAGGGGAGGAACAAAUGACGUUACCCUCAGAAGAAGCACCGGCUAACUCCGUGCCAGCAGCCGCGGUAAUACGGAGGGUGCAAGCGUUAAUCGGAAUAACUGGGCGUAAAGGGCAUGCAGGCGGUCGGACAAGUAGGAUGUGAAAUCCUGGGGCUCAACCUCAGAACUGCAUUCUAAACUGUCCGACUAGAGUAUUGCAGGGGGAGACGGAAUUUCAGGUGUAGCGGUGGAAUGCGUAGAUAUCUGAAAGAACACCAAAGGCGAAGGCAGUCUCCUGGGCAAAUACUGACGCUCAUAUGCGAAAGCGUGGGUAGCAAACAGGAUUAGAUACCCUGGUAGUCCACGCCGUAAACGAUGUCAAUUAGGAGCUUGGACUUAAGUCUGGGUUCCGUAGCAAACGCAAUAAAU
rnacentral:rRNA from 1 species